GGAAGACUAAGGGGGACAGAGGAGUGGGGUGUUGCCUUCUGGGAAUCUGGCUGAAGCCCAGCUCCAACCGAGAAUCAAGCAUCCCAGCACAACGUGUGCUAAAUGUCCAAGAAAUCUUACAAACAAGACUAUUGACUUUCAAUAACAGUCGAGACAUCACUUCCUGGAGCCAUCUUAGGGUGCUGACGUACCAGCUGUAACCCUAGUGCACUCAGGAGCCAGCCCAAGAUCCCAUUUAAAUCCCUUAGCAACCCAUCUCUGUCACCGGUGAUCCGAGAGCCGUCCAAAAUUCUGUUGUAAUGGUGCAAACAUUUGCAAAUGCUGACUACAGAGAAGCCAACCUGAGAAGGCUGUGCAAAUUAUUCCAAAGAGAAAAUAAGACCACCAACAUUGGGGGAGACCCUGAAAAGACGAAACAGCAAGCAUGUCAGCCUGCCCUGGGACUCCAACGGAGGGAGCCACACCUACUGAGCCGUGAGAACUGAUCUGCUGUCGAGAGAGAAGAUAGUUUCAGAGUCAGUUAACUUGAGGGUCAUCUGACCAAGGCAAGUACGGUCAAGGCCUUUAGGAUGGGGAGUUUGUUUUCCCUUGACCUGCUUUACCUAAAGCCAAAUGUGAGGUAAACAACAUGGGGCGCAUUCAAGGCUCCUCUAUCGGCU